rnacentral:rRNA from 1 species
GACGUAGGGGGCGAGCGUUGUCCGAAGUUACUGGGCGUAAAGCGCGCGUAGGCGGCCUCUUAAGUUGGGUGUGAAAUACUGCGGCCCAACCGCAGAACUGCAUCCAAAACUGGGAGGCUUGAGGACGGAAGAGGGCAGUGGAAUUCCUGGUGUAGCGGUGAAAUGCGUAGAUAUCAGGAGGAACACCCGUGGCGAAGGCGGCUGCCUGGUCCGUAUCUGACGCUGAGGUGCGAAAGCCAGGGGAGCGAACUGG